GGAGUCUUUGAACGCAAGUUGCGCCCGAGGCUUGUCCGAGGGCAUUUCCGCUAGAGCGUCAC
rnacentral:rRNA from 1 species